GCUACCGAGGCGGCUUUUUGAUUGGAUAUGAGCCUCAUGAAUAUGUAUUUUAUCGAUAGUAUCGUUUAAGAAACCGGAUAAUAUAUUUGACCUCAUUGCGUCACUUUAAUUAUGCAGAUUUAUGCACGACGCUACUACACUCGCACAAACUGAGAAGAGUUAGUUCAUUGAGAAUGGAAUGAAACUGAUGAAGAUCUGGAAGGAGUUAACUGAUGAGUGGACAUUAAAACAUUUCUUAUAUUUGCAAGAUGAAGCAGAAAGUCCCAUGCAGGAUGAUGCUUCUCUACAGUGGACGAUGAAGGCAUGCUGGUUUACAAACUCAGGAGAGGAACAAAGAACAGAUAUUGACGGAUCAUAUCUAGAAAUGCGGGCCUACUACACUUCAUACAAGCAAGUGUGCUAAUAUACAUACUUGGGUUAUCAUUACAGCCCUUUCUUCUGAAAACUAGGCUACAACUUUAUUGAUGAAUGCAGAAGACAUCUACAUGGGACUACCUCUUAAAGAUGCCACCCUUAUAUAAUGAAAGAGGACAGUAGAUUUAAACUUGGGUUUAAACUUGAACAUUUACAUACUAUUUAUUUGUUACUUGUAUUAUAUGUUUGUAGAAUACCACAUACAAAACUAAUGAAUUUAUCACCUUGUCAACAUUCAAAUAAUUAAAGAUAAACUAAUCAUCAGUGAAUAAACAUUAACAUUUUAACAAUGUCAACUACCAUCUUAUAGGAUGAAACUGAGG